rnacentral:lncRNA from 1 species
AUUCGUUCAUAGUGUAUUAAUUUACAUUUUUUGAUUGAGUUAAGCCUGCCAAUUGAUAUUUUAUCGUGUGUUUUUCUAUGCUGUGAUGUUAUGCUAUUGUUUCCGAAAAAGGGAGAAGGUUUGGUACCAUUAAACGUUUAAUCCCGCUGCAAAUGUUUGCACCUAUCCUAAGUCAGGAAUCUGAUGUACAGUAGUUGUCGUUUGUUUAUGUAAUUUAUACGUGUUUCUCGUUUUUUUUAUAUAGAUA